GUCCCCCGCGCCGCCCGGCCCCCGCCCCCCAGCGGCGCCGCAUCGCGGCGGCCAUUUUGUGCGGCUGCGGUCGGUUCGCGGGGCUCAGCGCGCCGCGGGCCCGGGCGGGGUGGCUCCGUUCUAACCCUUUUUCUCGUACAGAUCCCCUCGUCUAAAAGUUGGUUUUAAUUGGUUGCCCACAGGAUUGGCUUGGCUUCUGCUACUUGUUAAGAAAAAAACAUCUGUCUUUGCAGAUGGCCGCGUGCCUGUCCCGGGUGGAGCUGUCCGUGGCCUGCCGGAGCCUCCUCGACGGGGACCUGAGCUCCAGGUGGAUCCCCUCUGCGUCCUGCUGCAGGACGCGGGCGAUGGCCGGUGGGCUGAGCUAGAUCACACGGAAAAGGUCAAGAACUGCCAAGACCCUGAAUUCUGCAAGAAACUGGUUGUGGACUGCUACUUUAAGAAAGUUGUGUCUAGCUCAGUGUUCACUCGACUGCUGGAAUUGAAGCAGGAAAAGUCAGCAGGAAAGGGCACUAUUAUGGUCAUCAAGAUCAGCUUAAAUCCACGCUGGAGGAAGUUCAAUUGUUCGCUUGCAAACUUUCUGUGGUGGCGAUUUUAAUAAAGCUAUCAAGAAUUUUACUUCUUCAUCCUCUCUCUGAAGAAAUUUCAUGCUGAAAGCUUGAUAUGGAAGAUUUAGCAAAAUGCAUGCAUGCUAAUGUUGUUCUUUGUGCAGUGUGGUAGUUCCUAAUAAUUAAUGAGAUUAUUAGCCUUAAAAUAGGUGUUCAGGUGUUGUCUUGGUUUAAAAGACAGGUGUCUGCCAAAGAAGGUGGGAACCUCCCUUGGAAUGGAGAUAUGACCUCCUUCCCUCUGAACUAUUAUAACUUUGAAAUGACAGGGCUUUCAGGCAAAGCUGGGGGAAAGGAAUAGCAGUUCCUUACUGGCGUGUGCGUGUAUACCAUGGCAAACAAACCCCAAGCCCAGCAGCAAAGACGAGCAGACGCAGAGCCCCAGGGCCGCCUUGUCCCGGCUGCAGGCACCUUCCCCUGCGGUGCAGUUCUGGGCACGGCCAGCAGGGGCGCUGCUGGCUCCUGGCCGGGCAGGGUGGGGCGAUGAUUCCCCCGGGCCUGCAGGGGGCGCUGUGGCGCGAGCUCGGCCGCCUCUCUGCACUCGGCAAUGGCGGGCAGGCUGGCGGAAGGGAUGGAGAAGGGGCUUCCUUGGAACCCUCAGGGACGGCUGGUCCUGCUGUGCCUCCGGCUGCUGAAAUGGACUGCAGCAGGAACCUCGGAAGCAGCUGGAACAGCAGAGUAGAGUAGAGUAGAGUAGACCCUGGGUGGCAAACAAAGUGUAGCAAAAAACCCGAAGCUGUGGCAGGAGCAAUGUGGGUCCUGCAGUGGCAGCCAGACUCCCACAAGCAGCAGGGAGGUGCUCCCUCCAGAGGGGUCCUGAGUUUCCCUUGAGGCACCCAAGCACUUGAUGAGGGUCUCUCAUCAAGAUUGGUUGUUGAAAAGGUCCCAGUUCAACAGCUGCUCUUACGAGCAAAGCCUCACCCAGGGUAAGGAGAAGCAUUGAAGGACAAAUCUCCACAGUGGUGAAACCUUGGGGCAGCAGCACUUCAGCACCAAAACCACAACCAAGAGCAAGGCUGUGAGAGAGGGCUGAGCCCAGGCCCUGGCCCAGAGCUGUCUUGGUAUCUCUGCACUUUGCAAGAGAAAAUCUCCUCCAGCUACCAAGCUCACUCCCCACCUAAGAGACUGCAGUCAACUACAACCCUUGCCCCCUCCUCCCCAUCUCGGCCACAUCUUUUGUCUCUCUUAGGCAACAAAUGGGAGAAAAAUUCCCUGAGAGAAAGAAAAAUCCAAACCUCCAACAGGUGUGCUGAGCUUGUUGAUAGGUGGCAGUGUUCUAAGUGGUGUUUGUGAGCUCUUAUUGGUGGGGUAUCAACAGUCUUAGGUCAGAAAGAAAUCAUCUUUGUUCAAAAGUGUGCAGCAGGCAUAUAGAGGAGGUGACUAAGAGGGGCAUAUUGUCAUUGGUUAGAACUGACAUGAUGUGGUUUACCCAUACUGUUUUGUGGGGCUAUAUUUGCUAUACCCCAAAAAUAUUUGUGUUGUUAUUUUGUUUUGUUUGUUUUUUAGAAGCUUCCUAUGCUUUGGAGUCCACUUCAGAAUUAUGUACUUCUUCAAAAGGAUAGCUUUUUUCUCUUAGUUCAUUUAAGCCAAAAUUCUUGAUGCAUGGGCAAAUAAUCUGUGCAAUUUCCCAAUGCAGUUGUGAAAAAGGAUUAAACUGUUCAUAUCCUUAACAUGCUGGGGAAGUUAGUCAGGGGAGUCUAGACUGACAGUCAAGAGUUUCAUUAACAACAGUGAAGUAUAUAAUAUUUGACUACUGUUUUAUUUUUCAUUUGGAAUUUGUUCCUCAAAACUUCUUGUUUGAAGCUUCCAAAAGUUUACCUAGUGGUGAAACCUUUGGGCAGCAUACACCAUUUUGGUGUAUCCCCUAAACAACAACUUUGCCAGCUGUGUAUGAGGAUUAAAUGCUGAAUAUGUGUGUGAACAUAAAUCUUUUGAUCAAAUAUUAUCUAGUAUUAUGGCAAUUCUUUCUUCAUUGUGAUUCAGAGUGAUGUUCUCCUUGUUCUUGUUAAGAACAGCUCAUAUUUGUGACACAGCCUCAUCAUUGUUGCAGUUUUGUGAAAAAUAAGUGAAAGCAGUGCCUCAGCCCCAUAGUUACUUAAAUAGAAAUAACAAAUGUAGCAAAUGGGAGUAGCAAAAUAGAAAUUUGUAUGUGUCGGUAUUUACAGGUUUAAUGGCAUAUACGCAAAGGCAAAAUAGUUUUCUGUGGAUUUUGAAAGUUCCUCCUGUAGAUAAAAGGGGCCUUUUCCUCGCUGACUGUAUUUCAUGGCUUGUAAUGAGUAUUGGAGAGUUCAUUUGCGAAGAAAUAAUAAAUAACUCAAUACAGUGUCCUUCAGUAUUGGACGUUUUGUUUGCAGCAACACCACUCUUUGGGCUGCCUGCAGUGAAUAUUGGCCAGUCUUAGAAAAAAAUCCGUGUAAAAAGAGUUUUGUUAUAAGCCAUACCACGUUGUGAACUAAUAACUGAACUGGUCCUUACCAUGGCUGUGAGGGGAGUGGGAGCAGGAAGGAGCAGAGAGGAGGUGUGUGGAGAUGGCAGUGCCUGGGUUCCCUAAAGCUCUUCAGGUGUACUGGCAUAAAGGAGACCCUUCACUGGGAGUCUGCACCCUGGCUUCUGCACAAGAGAAGGCCUCCCUGGCAUGAUCCAGUCACUUUUGGGUGAUGUACAAACAUAGGAAUUGUUGGGAGAAGCCAAGUAAAGUUCAGGCGGGAGGAGUGGGAAUUGCUUCUUGGUGGAGUGUUUAGAUGAGAAGAGCAGAAGUGGGGUGGGAAGGAUGGGGGAGGAGAAGGGGGAAUAGUCUCUGUGGUAUCUUUUGCCAUUGAGACACUGAAGGAUGCCAUGGUGCUUCCCAUUUAGGUGACUACAUUGAGCCAUAAUUUACCUGGCUGUUUGUAUGGGUUUUCCAUUGAUACCAGUGGAAGACCCCCAGUAGAUCUGAAUAGUCCUUUAAAGAACCCUGUGUUCAAAUUCAGAUAUCUAGCCAUUGAAUUUGACGUCCUUAUCAGGGUGUUAGCCAUGGGUUCAUCUUGUCCCAUUGUCCUUAGGAGAAAACUGUCACUGUGGUUUAUACUGGAGUAGCAUCAACUUCUUAAUUUCUGAAGGCAGAUCUCAGAAAGAAAAUUCCUGAAUCUGUGUGGCAUGUGAGCUUCAGAGGAGGAGGAGGCAGCUGCUUACAACUGUCCCUUAGUUGACUGCCUCUGGAAUUACUUGUGUUCUGCAGUUGAACAUGUUAGAAAUGCUCCUCACCAGUGAUUUUGUGGAGAGCUAUGACACCAUGUUGCUGUAAACCAGUUAUUCGCAUAUUUUUAUUUGUAUAUGCACUGCUGUUUUGCAUUUUCUAGUUCUGAAGCCUUCAUUCUGACAUAAAAAUUACUGUUUAUUAAUAAAGUAUUGCGGGAAGGGGUCUGUCCUGGGCAGGAGAGGGUAGUCCAACUCCCAGGGGAGCUGUCUCCUCGGUCUGCGUCCACAUGUACCACAAUCCUGGAUAGCUACGAGAAGGUCCAACCAGAGGAAGGAGGGCUCUGCACACACUGACAGGGAUCCAACCAGGUUUAUUGAAGGGUCGACAAAGGGUCCAAGACGGGGUGGGUCGGAGAGGAGCAAGGAGACAACCAGCUUGAAGAGAGACAGGCAGCAGAAGAGCCCAGAACAGCGCGGGGACAAGGUGGAAUAUGAAUGCAUUCGUCCUGAGAAGAAACAAAAGAAAAACAACUACAAAAACUCUUGCAUUAUUAGGAUAAAAUCCUGCAAGAUUGAAACAGAAUAUUCAUUUCUGGACUGUGUGAUGGGAGGCUGCUAGAUUAACUUCAUGGAAUCCAAGGAAUAGUGGAUGCCUACCACCAGAUUUUGCUGCAGAUCCGACUCUACAGGCCAACCAACUUCUCUCCUAUUAUAAACCACAUGGCAAGGUUUGCAGCACACUUGCUGCAACAAGGAACUGCUGCAGCUCCCCAGGAAGCACUUCCCCAGGUGGUUCUGGCUGAAGUGCCCAAGCAGCUAGUGUCAUACAAUGAAUGGCAGGAGUGGCCCCCCCUGAAACUGCCAGAAAUCAAGGUGAUGUAGAUUCAGGCUAGCCCUGGCUACCUGUAGCACUGGGGAGAAGGAGAGCUGCCUGCAGCCACACUUUCCCUUACACUCUAUGGAUGCUUAGUGCCUUGAGAUUGCACGAGUCACACCACUUCUUUCACCUGCUUGCGCUCAGUCUUUGAUCUUUCAAAGAUUUCUAUUGGAAGAAAUGUAAAUACAGAAAAACCUCCAAGCGCUGGAAGUUUUUGUCACAGAAAGAUUGACCUUGUUGGUUUUCUACCUUGCAACAGCGACAGUUUGUGAUACAUCACACCGCACAUAGUUGCUUGACACAGCCCAUCUGCUACUCGCUAUCAGGGUAGGCCUCUGAAAUGAGCUGCUCUAGUGCUGAGCCUGGUGGUAGAAGUGUUACACCUGUGUUUGUUAUAAUGACACUUACCAUGUGCUCCUCGAUAGGUGUCUUUUAUCAAGCUGCCUUUGAAAUAGACGUGACCAAAGACUGUUGGUUGGAUGCCUGAGGUCCUUCCUAAAGUGCCAAUCAGGUCUUCAUAAAGUGCUAAUAUUUUUUUUUUAUGUUUCAGCGAACAUACCUUUUUGUGUUCUUUUUAAUCACAUUUUUCUAUUAGCAAAAUUUCUUUCUGUGAUGAACUCCUGCUUGAAGCCAUUGUUAUAGUUCAAGAACACUGCACUUUGCUUAUUUAUGGGGGUUAAAUGAGAAUUAAUCAUUAAUUAAUGGGAUUGGAGUGAGAUUAAUGAGUCACAUUAAUGUGACUUUAAAAAUCCUGCAGUUGGAAAUACUGAAAUGAGGAUGCUUUGAGUGAAUUCUUUAUAUCACACAGGUUACGAAAUGAAGAAGUAACUUAUCUGUGGAACUCCAAGGAGGUGUCACCUCAGUAGUGUGAAGUGUGCAUUACAUCAUCUGGGAACUGUAGAACAGGCACAUGAUAGCGAAGCACAAAUGUUUUGAGGAAGAUAGUUCAUUUCCAAGUAGAGGUAAAGAAAUUUGGGCUUGUCAUUGUACUAGAAGUGUCAGCACUUUCAGUUACAUAAAUAAAUAUUCUACUUUGACUUUGA